GGUGCGGGUUCCUGUGUGCUGAGCGGAGGAGCCGGGGUGGGGGCGGUGCAAGCGGAAGAAAGAGCCAAGAGAGCGGAAAAUCGGCUGGUGCUGUCGCCGCCCGAGUUUUGUGUUUACACAGCUUUCCAGCUGGGUACAACGGAGCCGAACUCCGUGUUCCCGGGCUGGAGAGCCUUGGAGUCCCCGCCAACCCCCAGUAGGAAGCGAGCGCUGUAACGUGGGAGGCGUGGUCGCCACUGAUCUUGUCUACCCCCAGAGCCUUCCUAAAGGCUCUGCCGCCACGAGACUGCACCACCGGGAAAGAAGUGUGUGAAAGUGUACUCCGUAAACAGGCAAUCCUGUACGCGACUUAGGGGCAGAAAGACCCUCCGCACUUUUAUCAUUUGAAAGUAAGGUGGACGAUUCCAGCCUGGUGUCCCUGAGGGUACACACAGGCCCCCCGCGCAGCCAGAGGUGACUCAGGAACCCCCCUUCCAACCCCUGCGUAGAACGCCGAACAGUCUUCGGAGAAUUCGCUUUCCUCCACGUGAAAAGGAAAAGAAAAACAUUUGAGGGGUCGCAGUAGUCACUUGUACUCCCCAAACACAUGGGAAGAAGUUGAUCAGUUUGCAUGCUUGGAGUCAAAUUACGCUCAGCACAAAUCCAGCGCCCCUGAAUUAAAUGAGCAGUAGAAGCUCUCUGCAAAAAGCACAACAGUAUUUGUGACCCGGUAUUAUUUCAAGAGGCUGGAGUGCAGUGGCGCGAUCUCGGCUCACUGCAACCUCCGCCUCCCCGGCUCAAGCAACCUCCCACCUCAGCCUGCAGAAUCGCUGGGACCACAGGAGGAAUUUCCCUGCACAAGCUCUCAUUCUCUCUUGCCUGCCGCCAUGUAAGACAUGUGUCUUUGCUCCUGCUUCACCUUCUGCCAUGAUCGUGAGGCAUCCCCAGCCAUGUGGAACUGCCAGUAAAGGAAUAAAAGAGAUCCACCAAGACAGAGAAUUAAAGGAGAGACUCCAGCAUAUAAGAGGUCAACCAUUUAGGAAAACAGUGGAUACAGAAGUGGCAACUGACGUAGCGGAACAGAGAAAGCUGAAGGUUAAGUUCAAGAGGCGGCGGAAGCCAGCAAGAAACAAGCUGAUUCCUGCUGCAGAACUCUCAUCAGCUCAGCAAUAAGCACCACCUGGUUCUCUGAGGCGGGAAAUUAAAUAAACAGCUAUUUAAAAGCCAUCAUGUGGAAGCACCGUGCCAGACAAGUUUACCAAGUUCUACCAAACAUUCCCUAAACAAAAUGUCCCAACUUGAAACUAUUCCAGGGUACAGAAGGAGGGAGUGCUUGCCAGGUCAUCUCAAACAACUAUAAUAAUCUUGAUACCUGAUCAAGGACAUCAAUAAUUAUAUAUCAGUCUCACUCACAAACACAGAUGGAAAAAUAUUGCAAAACAUCCAAGAAAAGUAGGAAAAAAAAACCACAUUGUGACUAAGCCAGGCUUAUCCUAGGAAUGCCAGAUGUUCUUAACAUUGGAAAAUCAGUUAACUCUCCACAUUAUCAGAUUAAGGAAGAAAAAUCAGAAUCACCUCAACAUAUAUAAAAAAGAAACCAUUAGAAAUUAAAUCUCUAUUGGUAUUUGUUUUUUAGAGCUGCCGUAACAAAAUACCAUCCACUGGGUGGUUUAAACAACAGAAAUUUAUUUUCUCACAGUUCUGGAGGCUAGAAGUCCGAGAACAAGGUUUCAUCGGGUUUGGUUUCUCCUGAAGCCUCUCUCCUUGGCUUGCAGAUGGGCGCCUCCUCGCUCUGUCUUUUCUCUGUAGUUGUGUACCCCUGGUGUCUCUCUGUAUGUCCAAAUUGCCUCUUUUUAGGACCCUAGGAUUAUUGGAUUAGGGCCUACUCUAACAGCCUCAUUUUAACUACCUCUUUAAAGGAUCUGUCUCCAAAUUUGGUCACAUUCUAAGGUACUGGAUGUUAAGGCUUCAACAUAUAAAUUUGGGGGAGACAUUAUUCAGUUCAUAACACCAUUCAUGGUUGGCGAUCUAAGAGUAAAAGGGAAUUUAUUCCGAUUGAUGAAGGGUAUCUACAAAAAACUUAAAGCAAACAUAUUCAUUUGUGAAACUUUAAGUGUGCUUUAAGGUCAGAAACAAGACAACGGUGUCAGCUAUCACAGCUUCUAUUCUACAUUAUACUGGAGAACCCAGACAGCAUAACCAGAGAAAAAAUAUAAAGAAUGGAGAGAAAGAAACAAUUCAUCGGCAGAUUGUGGUUGUGUAUGUAAAACACAAAUCUGCCUAUCAAUUAUUAAAGUUAAAAUUAAAUCUGUUACUCCUUAAAAAUCAAUAUAAAAUGAAUUGUAUUUCUAGUUACUUAGCAACAAAGUUAGGAAAUGUGUUUUUGAAUACAUUUUUUUAAAUGACCUUUAAAGUAGAAACUUUA